CCUACGGGUGGCAGCAGUGGGGAAUAUUGCACAAUGGGCGCAAGCCUGAUGCAGCCAUGCCGCGUGUGUGAAGAAGGCCUUCGGGUUGUAAAGCACUUUCAGCGGGGAGGAAGGCGUUAAGGUUAAUAACCUUGGCGAUUGACGUUACCCGCAGAAGAAGCACCGGCUAACUCCGUGCCAGCAGCCGCGGUAAUACGGAGGGUGCAAGCGUUAAUCGGAAUUACUGGGCGUAAAGCGCACGCAGGCGGUCUGUCAAGUCGGAUGUGAAAUCCCCGGGCUCAACCUGGGAACUGCAUUCGAAACUGGCAGGCGAGAGGCUUGGAGAGGGGGGUAGAAUUCCAGGUGUAGCGGUGAAAUGCGUAGAGAUCUGGAGGAAUACCGGUGGCGAAGGCGGCCCCCUGGACAGAGACUGACGCUCAGGUGCGAAAGCGUGGGGAGCAAACAGGAUUAGAUACCCCAGUAGUC
rnacentral:rRNA from 1 species